rnacentral:rRNA from 1 species
UACGUAGGGUGCGAGCGUUGUCCGGAAUUAUUGGGCGUAAAGGGCUCGUAGGCGGUUUGUCGCGUCGGGAGUGAAAACACACAGCUUAACUGUGUGCUUGCUUCCGAUACGGGCAGACUAGAGGUAUGCAGGGGAGAACGGAAUUCCUGGUGUAGCGGUGAAAUGCGCAGAUAUCAGGAGGAACACCGGUGGCGAAGGCGGUUCUCUGGGCAUUAACUGACGCUGAGGAGCGAAAGCAUGGGGAGCGAACAGG